ACCUACGGGAGGCAGCAGUGAGGAAUAUUGGUCAAUGGGCGGGAGCCUGAACCAGCCAAGUCGCGUGAGGGAAGACAAUCCUAUGGAUUGUAAACCUCUUUAGGCGGGGAGCAAGGCCGCCGACGUGUCGGCGGAAGGAGAGUACCCGUAGAACAAGCAUCGGCUAACUCCGUGCCAGCAGCCGCGGUAAUACGGAGGAUGCGAGCGUUAUCCGGAUUUAUUGGGUUUAAAGGGUGCGCAGGCGGCACGGCAAGCCGGCGGUCAAAUCGCGGGGCUCAACCCCGCCCAGCCGUCGGAACUGCCGG
rnacentral:rRNA from 1 species